rnacentral:tRNA from 1 species
GCGGCUAUACGUCAGCUGGGAAAGCGUCAGACUGAGGUUCGACUUCGGUUCCAGUACAUCUGAAGGUCCUCUGUUCGAUCCACAGUGGUCGCA